AUUGAACGCUGGCGGCAUGCCUUACACAUGCAAGUCGAACGGUAACGCGGGGCAACCUGGCGACGAGUGGCGAACGGGUGAGUAAUGUAUCGGAACGUGCCCAGUUGUGGGGGAUAACUGCUCGAAAGAGCAGCUAAUACCGCAUACGACCUGAGGGUGAAAGCGGGGGAUCGCAAGAACUCGCGCAAUUGGAGCGGCCGAUAUCAGAUUAGGUAGUUGGUGGGGUAAAGGCUCACCAAGCCAACGAUCUGUAGCUGGUCUGAGAGGACGACCAGCCACACUGGGACUGAGACACGGCCCAGACUCCUACGGGAGGCAGCAGUGGGGAAUUUUGGACAAUGGACGCAAGUCUGAUCCAGCCAUGCCGCGUGCGGGAAGAAGGCCUUCGGGUUGUAAACCGCUUUUGUCAGGGAAGAAACGCUCUGGGUUAAUACCUCGGGGUAAUGACGGUGCCUGAAGAAUAAGCACCGGCUAACUACGUGCCAGCCGCCGCCGUAACAC
rnacentral:rRNA from 1 species